rnacentral:lncRNA from 1 species
GCCAAGUUUCCAAUUUUGUAUUUUUAAUUCAAGUCGGUUUAAGUUUGGUCGGACAAUGCCGAAUUUCUCUGCAACUCUGAUAUCUUCGUAACUAAUUUUCUCAUGUUCAUAGGCAACUACAUUCGAUCUGCAGCUUCCUUCUUCUUUCCUAUGCAUAUGUUCGAUCGAAUUUGUUCCCCCAUUCAAUCAAUGCUUUCUUUCUUUUUCCUUAAUCCUUCUUUCCUUUUAUAUCGUAUUCGAAACUCUGCCUAAAUAAAAGCUAGGAAGCUACUGCGCAGCUUCCGAUCCAUGAUCCUUGUCUAUAAUAAUAACGUUGGGUCCUCGUUAUAUUAUAUGUAGGUCAUCGAUCCACCUAGAACACGAGAUAA